GGGGGCGAGGGCCCGAGGGAGGCGCCUGCGCCCUGCACGGUCCUCUCGGGAAGGCUUUGUGCCGCGGCUUUCCCCCAAAGCAGCCUCUGCCGAGCCGAGGCCCGGGGCGAUGCCUGCUCCCCGCAGGCGACUCCCUCAGUAGUUCCCUCGCCCUCGCUCGGAGCCUUUCCGGGCCCCUGGACCUCCCAAUAUAAUGUGCCUUAGACAAUCUGUUAUGCAUUUUGGUUUCUCAUCUGGAGAACUGCGAGUACUGUGUGCAGAUUUCCUCCGUCCCAGGGGAGGAGAAGUUCCAUGAGGGGGCCGGUGGUGGUGGAGAGAGCACGUUUCCCUGGCUCACGCUGGGGUCCCCGGACCAAAGGCUGCUCCCCUUAUGAGUCAGAGUGGUUCCCUCCUUUCCUCCCCAGUAGCCCAGCCGAUGAGCCUCAGUAGUAACUGGAGAAGUAUGUAGCUGAAGAUCACAAGCUCCCAGAGCGUUUUAAAUAUAAACCUGCCCUGUGUGUAUGUGACAGUCCCUGAAGGAACACAGUCCUCUUCGCCUUGCUACGGGUUUAUGCAGCGCCAAACCUGAGAGAGGCCACUUCGGAGACACCUUGCUAAUUCUCAAACCCAGCUACUUUAGGGUCAGGAGAUGGAUGGCUCAAACUAACCUUGCCGAAAUCAACUAAGUUUCAGGAUGGCCUUCUGUUUGUGACAAUGAGUCAGAAGAGAAACAGGGCAUCCCCUUUCCCACCCCGUUUUGAGGUUUGCAAAGUGCCUGACUGUUAUAUGUCCCUGGAGUCCUUUGGGGGUGUAUUUAUUAUUGAUCAAGAAGAUGAGAUGACCUGAAUGUGAAAAGAAGGGAAUCUGAACUGUGCAUUCUUUUCAAGGUGCUAAAAACUAGAAUCUGAGAGACUGGCCUUGUGAUGCUAAUUCCUUAGGUUUCUCCGUCUGAAGAAUGAGGAAAUUCAACUAAGUGAUGUCUGAAGUCCCUGUUAGCUCCAGAAAUAACGGAUGUUGACUUGGAAGACUAGGUCCCUGGAGCACCCUUCCUCUGGUUUCCAGAGGGGGUUCCUGUAGAAACGAAGAGCAUGGCCACAACGAGGGACGCUGUAUCCUCGCUGCUGUCACUCUGGAAGGGGGUGCAUCCCUGGACUGCUGCAGGUCCAACAAGCAGUGGUCUUUUCCAAAGCUAUCAUUUAUCCAUCACUCUCUGGGCCUGGCAGUAGAAAUGGCAUCCUGCUCCACCCACUGCAUGGGCUCCUCAGCACCGUCUAUUGCUGUCUUUUACCCUGUCCCCACCAUUAAAAAUAGUCCUUUAUG